rnacentral:rRNA from 1 species
UCCGUAGGUGAACCUGCGGAAGGAUCAUUAAUGAAUUGAGGGUUCCUUUUAUUAGGGCCUGACCUCCAUUUUCUAACACUUUGUGCACCAAAAAAAGUCCGCGAAACGGCCGAAAGGUCAUAGUAGUAGACUUUUUAUCAUUAAUUAUACUCUAAAAGUAACAGAAUGUAACAAAAACCAUAACAAAAUAAAACUUUCAACAACGGAUCUCUUGGCUCUCGCAUCGAUGAAGAACGCAGCGAAAUGUGAUAAGUAAUGUGAAUUGCAGAAUUCAGUGAAUCAUCGAAUCUUUGAACGCACCUUGCGCUCUCUGGUAUUCCGGAGAGCAUGCCUGUUUGAGUGUCAUGAACUCUUCAACCCACCGGUUCCUUGUUGGAUCGAGUUGGUGUUUGGAUCUUGAGUGUUGCUGGCUUCUUUUUGAAAAUUAAGAGGCGUAGCUCAUUCGUAAUACAUUAGCAUCUCAACUUCGAACUUCGGAUUGACUCAGCGUUAUAGACUAUUCGCUGAGGACACAAGCAAUUGUGGCCGAAUUAGAUAACUAGAAGCUUCUAACCCCCCUACUAGUCAAAACUAAAAGAUUAGACCUCAGAUCAGGCAGGAUUACCCGCUGAACUUAAGCAUAUCAAUAAGCGGAGGAAAAG